UUCGCCCUUAGAGUUUGAUCCUGGCUCAGGGCGAACGCUGGCGGCGUGCCUAAAACAUGCAAGUCGAGCGGGGGUUGGCCGCGGGGCAACCCGCGGUUUCAGCUCUAGCGGCGAACGGGUGAGUAACACGUGGGUAACCUGCCCCGAAGACGGGGAUAACCUCGGGAAACCGGGGCUAAUACCCGAUACCCUCCCCCGGGGGCAUCCCUGGGGGAGGAAAGGGUUGGGCGCAAGCCCUUCCGCUUCGGGAUGGGCCCGCGGCCUAUCAGCUAGUUGGUGGGGUAACGGCCCACCAAGGCGAUGACGGGUAGCUGGCCUGAGAGGGUGGUCAGCCACACUGGGACUGAGACACGGCCCAGACUCCUACGGGAGGCAGCAGUUGGGAAUCUUGGGCAAUGGGCGCAAGCCUGACCCAGCGACGCCGCGUGGGGGGUGAAGGCCUUCGGGUUGUAAACCCCUGUCAGGAGGGACGAAGCCCG
rnacentral:rRNA from 1 species